rnacentral:lncRNA from 1 species
AGACUGACUCGGAGGUCAGGUACAGUUUUUGCGAUUUUCUUGGUUGUGCUGUGUGGAAGUCGUCGAUAGAAGCUGCGUCUCCGAAGGUGACAGAUAAUGAACAUUCGUGGCGCGCUCAUGCUUUGUAUUCAACUUUCUUGCACCACAGUGCUACCUGGGAAAAUUCGUAAGCUUUCGCUCAGCAAUCUGCCUCCUGGGAAGAGUUGUCUACGUUGAAAUAAGGGUAUGUUUCCUCAUACACAGGAAUGCGUCUAAAUACCGCGCGAUGAAACUCUGUGUUAGCCUUCAGCACUUUCUGUCACUCUUGUUCUUUCAUGCCCGCCAUUGCCAUCGAUCACUCUGGUGACGCAUGUAUCAGAUGCAUUUCCUUCUGCGGCGUCGCUGAAUCAAUGCUGCAAAACCUGAAGAACAAGUUCGCCUCCAAAAUUGCCGUGGAAUUUGACAGAGUCUGAGGGAGAGUCUCGCUAGGUCACUGGAGGUGGUAGCGGUGACCAGGGGAACAACGAACGCGACUGCACAAACUAUGAAUGAGGUCCUUUUUGAUGCAUACGGAUUUUCGCAAUACAGCAAAAAAAGCCCUUCACGAGUAUAUGUGUAGCGCCGCUGCUCUUGUACUCCAGGUGACACUGUCGGGACAGGAUAGACAUCAGAAAGACAAUGACAGAGAAUCGUCGCUUCUGAUAAGACCCUGGUCGCGCCAGCCGUUGUGGAGAAACAAAAAGUGGCACUCUACUCGAAAUUUAACCCACCCCCUACAAAACGAUUGCGGAGACAAUCCCCACCAACGAGAGUAAGAAAGCACUCACGCCACCAAACGCAGCAGAUGAAGCAGUGGAUGGAGAAAUCGUCACAUCAACAGUGCACACUGUCGAAUUCGCUUCUUCAGGGGUGGUCCUUUUCCCCUGACUCUGAGCAGGAGGGGCCGCUUGUGUCUUCUUCUGGCAGCCAACUGUAAUUUUCUGCUCCUCUGAUGGGAACUCCCCAUCCGGAACCUGGAACGUGAACUCAUUGAUGUUUGCGGUUGACCACCACGUCUGUUUGUAAUUCGGGAAAAUGUCUGUGUACGCGCCCGUGCAAUGGGCAGCAGCUUCGUUCCCGUUUUCACUGACACAGUAGGCCUCAUUGUAUUUAGUCGGCAGAACUUCUCCUUCGCUGCCACAGACCAGAGUGAAGCUGUUUUUCCCAGGACUCAGCGUGAUGGUUUGGUGUUUUGCAUUGCUUUGCGUUCCGUAGGCACAUUUGACAGUUUGUUUUUGAGUUGAACUUGCUCUCGCUUGAAGUGUCACUGCCACCUUCAUUGUCGUAGUGUCAGUCUUUAAGCAACCGACAACGAAUUUGCGGUCCACAAAGGGGAAGUUCUCUCGGGGGAUGGUCAACC